rnacentral:rRNA from 1 species
GACGAACGCUGGCGGCGUGCUUAACACAUGCAAGUCGAACGGAAAGGCCCUGCUUUCGUGGGGUGCUCGAGUGGCGAACGGGUGUGUAACACGUGAGUAACCUGCCCUUGACUUUGGGAUAACUUCAGGAAACUGGGGCUAAUACCGGCUAGGAGCUCCUGCUGCAUGGUGGGGGUUGGAAAGUUUCGGCGGUUGGGGAUGGACUCGCGGCUUAUCAGCUUGUUGGUGGGGUAGUGGCUUACCAAGGCUUUGACGGGUAGCCGGCCUGAGAGGGUGACCGGGCACAUUGGGACUGAGAGACGGCCCAGACUCCUACGGGAGGCAGCAGUGGGGAAUAUUGCACAAUGGGCGGAAGCCUGAUGCAGCAACGCCGCGUGCGGGAUGACGGCCUUCGGGUUGUAAACCGCUUUCGCCUGUGACGAAGCGUGAGUGACGGUAAUGGGUAAAGAAGCACCGGCUAACUACGUG